rnacentral:rRNA from 1 species
GACGAACGCUGGCGGCGUGCCUAAUACAUGCAAGUAGAACGCACAGUUUAUACCGUAGCUUGCUACACCAUAAACUGUGAGUUGCGAACGGGUGAGUAACGCGUAGGUAACCUGCCUGGUAGCGGGGGAUAACUAUUGGAGACGAUAGCUAAUACCGCAUAAUAUUGAUUAUUGCAUGAUAAUUGAUUGAAAGAUGCUAUUGCAUCACUACCAGAUGGACCUGCGUUGUAUUAGCUAAUAGGUGAGGUAACGGCUCACCUAGGCGACGAUACAUAGCCGACCUGAGAGGGUGAUCGGCCACACUGGGACUGAGACACGGCCCAGACUCCUACGGGAGGCAGCAGUAGGGAAUCUUCGGCAAUGGACGAAAGUCUGACCGAGCAACGCCGCGUGAGUGAAGAAGGUUUUCGGAUCGUAAAGCUCUGUUGUAAGAGAAGAACGGGUGUGAGAGUGGAAAGUUCACACUGUGACGGUAUCUUACCAGAAAGGGACGGCUAACUACGUG